rnacentral:rRNA from 1 species
UGUGAGCUCGAUGAGUAGGGCGGGACACGUGGUAUCCUGUCUGAAUAUGGGGGGACCAUCCUCCAAGGCUAAAUACUCCUGACUGACCGAUAGUGAACCAGUACCGUGAGGGAAAGGCGAAAAGAACCCCGGCGAGGGGAGUGAAAAAGAACCUGAAACCGUGUACGUACAAGCAGUGGGAGCACGCUUAGGCGUGUGACUGCGUACCUUUUGUAUAAUGGGUCAGCGACUUAUAUUCUGUAGCAAGGUUAACCGAAUAGGGGAGCCGAAGGGAAACCGAGUCUUAACUGGGCGUUAAGUUGCAGGGUAUAGACCCGAAACCCGGUGAUCUAGCCAUGGGCAGGUUGAAGGUUGGGUAACACUAACUGGAGGACCGAACCGACUAAUGUUGAAAAAUUAGCGGAUGACUUGUGGCUGGGGGUGAAAGGCCAAUCAAACCGGGAGAUAGCUGGUUCUCCCCGAAAGCUAUUUAGGUAGCGCCUCGUGAAUUCAUCUCCGGGGGUAGAGCACUGUUUCGGCAAGGGGGUCAUCCCGACUUACCAACCCGAUGCAAACUGCGAAUACCGGAGAAUGUUAUCACGGGAGACACACGGCGGGUGCUAACGUCCGUCGUGAAGAGGGAAACAACCCAGACCGCCAGCUAAGGUCCCAAAGUCAUGGUUAAGUGGGAAACGAUGUGGGAAGGCCCAGACAGCCAGGAUGUUGGCUUAGAAGCAGCCAUCAUUUAAAGAAAGCGUAAUAGCUCACUGGUCGAGUCGGCCUGCGCGGAAGAUGUAACGGGGCUAAACCAUGCACCGAAGCUGCGGCAGCGACACUAUGUGUUGUUGGGUAGGGGAGCGUUCUGUAAGCCUGUGAAGGUGUACUGUGAGGUAUGCUGGAGGUAUCAGAAGUGCGAAUGCUGACAUAAGUAACGAUAAAGCGGGUGAAAAGCCCGCUCGCCGGAAGACCAAGGGUUCCUGUCCAACGUUAAUCGGGGCAGGGUGAGUCGACCCCUAAGGCGAGGCCGAAAGGCGUAGUCGAUGGGAAACAGGUUAAUAUUCCUGUACUUGGUGUUACUGCGAAGGGGGGACGGAGAAGGCUAUGUUGGCCGGGCGACGGUUGUCCCGGUUUAAGCGUGUAGGCUGGUUUUCCAGGCAAAUCCGGAAAAUCAAGGCUGAGGCGUGAUGACGAGGCACUACGGUGCUGAAGCAACAAAUGCCCUGCUUCCAGGAAAAGCCUCUAAGCAUCAGGUAACAUCAAAUCGUACCCCAAACCGACACAGGUGGUCAGGUAGAGAAUACCAAGGCGCUUGAGAGAACUCGGGUGAAGGAACUAGGCAAAAUGGUGCCGUAACUUCGGGAGAAGGCACGCUGAUAUGUAGGUGAAGCGACUUGCUCGUGGAGCUGAAAUCAGUCGAAGAUACCAGCUGGCUGCAACUGUUUAUUAAAAACACAGCACUGUGCAAACACGAAAGUGGACGUAUACGGUGUGACGCCUGCCCGGUGCCGGAAGGUUAAUUGAUGGGGUCAGCGCAAGCGAAGCUCUUGAUCGAAGCCCCGGUAAACGGCGGCCGUAACUAUAACGGUCCUAAGGUAGCGAAAUUCCUUGUCGGGUAAGUUCCGACCUGCACGAAUGGCGUAAUGAUGGCCAGGCUGUCUCCACCCGAGACUCAGUGAAAUUGAACUCGCUGUGAAGAUGCAGUGUACCCGCGGCAAGACGGAAAGACCCCGUGAACCUUUACUAUAGCUUGACACUGAACAUUGAGCCUUGAUGUGUAGGAUAGGUGGGAGGCUUUGAAGUGUGGACGCCAGUCUGCAUGGAGCCGACCUUGAAAUACCACCCUUUAAUGUUUGAUGUUCUAACGUGGACCCGUGAUCCGGGUUGCGGACAGUGUCUGGUGGGUAGUUUGACUGGGGCGGUCUCCUCCUAAAGAGUAACGGAGGAGCACGAAGGUUGGCUAAUCCUGGUCGGACAUCAGGAGGUUAGUGCAAUGGCAUAAGCCAGCUUGACUGCGAGCGUGACGGCGCGAGCAGGUGCGAAAGCAGGUCAUAGUGAUCCGGUGGUUCUGAAUGGAAGGGCCAUCGCUCAACGGAUAAAAGGUACUCCGGGGAUAACAGGCUGAUACCGCCCAAGAGUUCAUAUCGACGGCGGUGUUUGGCACCUCGAUGUCGGCUCAUCACAUCCUGGGGCUGAAGUAGGUCCCAAGGGUAUGGCUGUUCGCCAUUUAAAGUGGUACGCGAGCUGGGUUUAGAACGUCGUGAGACAGUUCGGUCCCUAUCUGCCGUGGGCGCUGGAGAACUGAGGGGGGCUGCUCCUAGUACGAGAGGACCGGAGUGGACGCAUCACUGGUGUUCGGGUUGUCAUGCCAAUGGCACUGCCCGGUAGCUAAAUGCGGAAGAGAUAAGUGCUGAAAGCAUCUAAGCACGAAACUUGCCCCGAGAUGAGUUCUCCCUGAC